AUUUAAAUAGUAUAAUUUAAUACGUAACGUUUUCAUUGUUAUAAUCCGAUUAGGUUUAAAUC
rnacentral:tRNA from 1 species